GUGUCAGCAGCCGCGGUAAAACGUAGGAGGCGAGCGUUAUCCGGAUUUACUGGGUGUAAAGCGCGUGCAGGCGGAUCGGAAAGUUGGAUGUGAAAGCUCCCGGCUUAACUGGGAGAGGUCGUUCAAAACUACCGGUCUUGAGUACAGUAGAGGGAAGUGGAAUUCCGGGUGAAGUGGUGAAAUGAGGAGAUAUACGGGAGAACACCAGUGGCGAAAGCGGCUUUCUGGACUGUAACUGACGCUCAG
rnacentral:rRNA from 1 species